CAGAUGCUGCUUUGGAGGAUCUGUCUGACAGGGCACAUGAUGUAGCCUAGGACACUGUUCAGAUGUUCUUCCUUAACCACAAGAGCAGCAAUGUUAUUCAUGUUUUUUCCUGAAUGUACACUCUAAAAAGUAAUUCAGGGGACAUAUUAUUACCACCACUUAAUUAAAUGCAUGGUUGCAAAAUAAAAAUUCUAAUUUAUUGAUUUAGAUAAACCUUUUAAGUUGCAAACAUUAUUUUAAUGAGUUGUGUUGACAUAAUAAUGUUGGUAAUUACAUCAACUUAAUAUUGUUUGUAAUUUAAACUUAAAUUUCUGCAUUAAUUGAUUUAAAACUAAAUUUAAGUUGUAGUAACUUAAUGAAAUUGGCUUGAUAACUUAAUUUUUCUCCACCUUGAGUUCAGGAUUUCAAGUCUCCUCCCCUACCCACUUAACAUUCCUGGACAAAUUCAGACAGUUAAGGCUAUGUAAGAGGACCUGUAGGCUGAACAAAUAUGAUACAAAGGACAUUUUCAAGAAGCCGAAUGCAUACUCCUAACUCACUGCAAGACUUUAAAGAAGACCUGCUAAAGAGAUUGAUUAAUGUCGCAACCAGCCCAUUAUGUUAUGUUAUGGUAGGUUGUUGUGCUGUGCCUUGUCCUAAGAAUUUCAGUGCCCAGUCUGACCCUGUGUCAUUCUGUGCCUCUGGCAAUAAAAGACUUGUAACUUGUAAAUACAUAACUGCAACUCAAAGUAAAAAAAGUGAAUUGCCUAACAAUUUUGUUGUUGAAAUAAUUAAUUUGGAGCAACUUAAUUUUUUAAACGGUUGUCAACUUAAAAACUUGUGUUCAUAAUUAUGGUAAUUAAGUACAUGAAACUUAAAAAUUCCUUUUAAAUAAUGUGGAAAAACUAGUUGGAACAACUUAAUUUUCAUGAGUAAUCAACUUAAAAACGUUUGUUUAUGCUACCAAUUAUUAAGUUAGUGGUAGUUAAAAAUACUUUUGGUUGUAGAGGAAAAGCUAAUUCCCCUAACUCAAUUUAGUUCAUUGGUUGAACAUAAUUUCAUUAGAAGUUGUCAUAACUCAAAAAAGAUUGAUGCAAACUGUUGCGUAAAUUUUUUAUGUUGAGCCAACGCAUUUGUUUUUAGAGUGUAAUAAAAGGAAAAUACUCCAUACUGUAAAUAAAAUGUCAUCUCAC